rnacentral:lncRNA from 1 species
CAAAAAGUAAAAAGAAGGACAAGGAAAACCAAGGCACAAAGAAAGGACCUAGGCGCACCCCAGAACUCACCACGGACACACAGCAGAGGGCUUCUCUUCAUAUCAAGGGUAUGGGUAAGCAAGAAAGGCUGCUGUUUCAUUGAGAUAGGACAAACCACCAAGCCCAAAUGAGAAGACAAACAGACGUGGUGUCAGACCAGGAGGGUUAGAACUUGCUAGUGUAGAGGGCAAUAAUCCACUUGGGCACACGGAGGAAGGAGGGCAAGUAGGAGGCCAGCCAGCCCAGGCCGGACACGUGUGAGAGAACAGAGCUCAAAGACAAAUAGUCUUGGACAGGGCGGCCUGGGAACAACAGGAGGAGGAGGAUUAGAUUCUCAUUUCCCACUCCUCAGAUACCCUCACCUUGGCUGGAGAGACCGAGGGAGGAGUGGGCAGGGAACAGAGGGAACAGCAGUCAAGGCUGGCUGCUGCGCCAGGGUCCUCACCGUCCACAUCCCGAAGGCCAUAGCGUCGAGCAAGGUCACAGGAUGGCAGCACCUUACCACUCAGGCUCAGGAUAUUGGGAUCUGCGGGCACACAGACAGGUGGAGAUGGCAGGCAGGGGAGUAUGCAGAGUGACAAGGUUUGGGCCCAGUUGGACAGGGCACUGCUGAGAGCCCUGGAGCUCAGGAUCCCUGGAGAACUCUUUCUUUCUGUUCCUAGGAAGGCUCUUGGGCCUUGGACUUUUUCCACACUUCCCAGGAGCCUGCUCCUAAGGCUCUCAGACCUCAAACUGGGAAUGCUGACCCCUUGGGCCUCAAAAAGCAGAGAAAAGAAUGACAUGUUCCUCAACCAACUCCCGAGCCAGAUCUGGGCACUGGAUGCUACCGCACUACACAUCCUCCAUGCCCUUUCUUAUUACCAGCUGCCCCCAAACUUCACCUGUUGCCAAAGCCACCACACAUUUGCCACUCAAUUCUGUGGUUUCCGCAGAUGAGAAGGCUGAUUUGAACUGAAACACAGGGGCAGAGAAGUGAAGGGUUAAUUUCCAAGAGCACUGCCCAAGUCUCCUCCCCAUUUCAACUUCUGUUCCAGGAGAAAAAGACCAAAGACCAAAGAGGCCAAAGACCUCAAGCAGGGCCUGUAGGACCCAAAGUACUGGCAGGUGCCAGAGCCACUCCUCCCCACAUCCAGGUGAGCCCUGUGCCCUGGCACCAGGAUCUGCUGUCUUUGCUAAGUGGAAGGAUCUGGUAGUGCCAAAUAGUGUUUGGACCUUCUAAGCUAGCUGGUGUGGGGGUCAAGUGCAUGGUCUUUGGAGCUAGACAGCCUUUCCACUUAGGACAUAUGUGACCUUCAACAAGUUUCUAAACCUCUCUGGGUUUCAGUUUUGCCAUCUGUAGAAUGGAGCUGGUAUCUCCCUUACAGGAUUAAAGGAAAUAAUGUGUGUCCCAUGCUCAGCCCUGCACCUGCCACAGUAAGCACCUGGUGAGUGGGAGUAUCUGAUCUUGUUAUUGUCUUGUUAUUGAGGAUGCAGAGGCCGACUCCCCUGUUCUCUGCUUCCUUCGCCCUCCCCUUGCCAACCUGCUUCAACACAGAAUCCUGCAGGACCUCCUCCUUUGCCAUAUGCUCCUUCAGCAGUUCUGUCUGCACAAUCCCCGGCCACAGAGACACACAGCUGACCCCAUGGCGCCACAGCUCGUGGGCACAGUCAGCAGCCAGCUUGUCACACUGUGGAGAGGCGGAAGGCAGGGUAAGAGCCACCUAGCCAUGUCACUUUCCUGCCCUGCCCUCUCUGCUUCUACUGUGAAUGCUCCACCCACCCUGUCCUUCCCAGGAGCCCCAAGGUCUCAGCUGCCCACGCUCCACAGUGUGAUGCCUACUCUAGCCAACCGAGAGGAGCACAAGCAAAGGAACUGUCCAUGGAUGAGGCAGAGGAGGAGCUGAGAGGAGCCAGCCUUACCAUUCUGACCACUGGGGAUUGUACCUCCUGAGCUAUAGUGUCUCCCUGUGUCGUCUAGACUGGAGUGCAGUGGUGUGAUCAUGGCUCAACUCCUAGGCUCAAGCGAUCCUCCUGCCUCAGCCUCCGGAGUAGCUGCUGGGACUGCAGGAACGUGCCACCAUGGCUGGCUCAAACACAAAGUUUUUUCAUAAAACUCACUUGGCGGCAAAAUUCUACCUUACCUGAAGUUAUUUACGGGGUUUUUAAUUUCC